UAUGUAUGUGAAUGUGCAUAUGAAAAGAGAAGCAACAUGAGUUUGUUUUAAACGCACCGUGGCUAGCAACAUCAAAGGCAAGAGUUUGGUUUAAAAAAUUAAAGAUAAUUUUGUUGCCUCUUGAUGAAGAUUGAGAGCCGGAAGACCCGCGGGCAACGAGAGCUAACAUACAUUACAGCAAGGUGCCACGUUUUUAAGAACCCAACAGUAUAAAACACAGCAUAGCAAAAUGUUGGUGAGAAUGUAAGGAAUGAAUGAAAAACAUGCACAUGACUAAGAAAGAAUCCAUGCAAAAAAAGUGGUGGUGAUUGAUCACACACGACCUCCCCCAGGUAAGAGGCAUAUUUAGAUGCCUCACAUUCCACAUGUCCCACCCGAAAGAAACCGUUUCAAGGGAACCAGCCAAAGCACCGUUACGCCACACUAGGAUAAGGAUCCACGUCAUCAUCAUCCUCUGCAGUCUGCAACUAUAAUUCAAAAACUGAACUGCAGUUUCCAUUGAAUAGCUUCUACUGACACCCACAUUAUCACUUUUUUUUUUAAGGGGACCAGAAUUUUCUGCAUUUCAAUUUUCUUUUUUAGGCCUGUGCAUGCUGUGACUGCAGUCAGUGUGGGCUUGUGACUGCAGAGAAUCAUGGCCAAGAAGAUACUAUAAGAGAAUCUCACAAAUAUUUUCUUUAAGAAUAGCUUUUUUUAUUUUGUUUUGACUUUUUCCAGUACUAAAUUAGCAUUAAUUUCUUGCCAUUCAUAACAACAAUAAUAUAUUUAUGAGAAAUAAAUGCAAGUAAUUUCUGUGGUAAAAACAUGGAUUAUUUCCCACCGAAAAGUAAAAACUAAUCUUAUCUUCACAGAUGUUUUCUUGGAAUCAAACACUUGAUCUGAUCACAUACUAAAUCAUAUACUUGAGCCAUAAUUUAAUUCAGUUUGCAAAAAACUUAUUCCUUUAUCAGUGAUAUGAUAAAUUUCCAAUAAAAACACAAUCAAACCACACUUCAAUGUCAUUUUAAGAUCGGCUCAUGUAUAAUUUGAAUAUUUGAUGAAUGAAACACUUGAGCCAUAAUUAAUUUAAUUCAGUUUAUAGAAAUUUAUUAUUCCGUUAUCACUGAAAUAAUAUUUCUAUUAAAAAUGCAAUCAAACCACAGUGGUGUAUAUCACUCCACAAAUAUUAGGGAAUUAGUUAUUUCUAUAUAUAUAUAUAUAUAUAUAUAUAUAUAUAUAAAAGAAACCUGAAAACAACAGGGAAAUAAGAAUGUCACUUAGUGGAGCUGCCAGAAACAGCAGAGCGGAAUACCUCCUCUGGCCGGAGAAAAACUGCUUUCCCCAAAACGAUGACGUUUCCGGAUUCAUCCAAGAUCUUUGCAAACUCAGCCCCUUGCUCAUGAUUCUCACACGUCUCAACGCAGAUCCGCAAAAACUCCGAGUACGGAACCGAACUCUCCGAAACGUUUCUCAGCUUUGCCUUCACCUUCUCCAUUUGCGGCACCCUCAAAAUCUUCCUCGCGUGGCUGACAGACAUUCCACUUCCAAACACCGCAUCGCUGGCCAUAGGUGCCGGAGCGAGAGCAACACAACAGUCUCCUAUGCCGGCUAUGUUGUUGAUGCUUUUGAGUUUCUCCCGGAGCUUCUCUCCGACGGGGAGAGACAGGAAAUCCGGGAAACGUGCCGGACUGGAGUGGUACACCGCUUGCCGGAGGAGGAAAAACCGCCGGAGAAAUCCUCCGUCUGCCGAACUCACUCCCAGCAUGCUCGGAGGCGCGAUGACUUGUUGUUGCAUAGUUGGAGACGACACGACACUGCGUUCAAACGGCCUCAUUUUGACACCGUCAAAGAAAUGCUUCGAUAACAGUUUCUGAAGCACCAUUGAUGUGUUUCUGAGUGUCUUUUUAUUUUUAUUUUUUAUUUUUCUUCUCUCUGUAUUUGAGAGAGAUUUAGAAAAAAAAAAAGAGUGUAUAGUGUGUCCAAUGGAACAGGAUUCAGAACACUCUUGAGAUCUAGGGGAAGAAGUUUUCCCAGAGUGUAUAUAUAUAGGUCCUAUUUUUUAUUUAUUUAUUUUCCAUUAUUUUUUUGUUAUUUUGGUGUUUUUACAAAAGUAGAAAAAGAAUCCCUUUUUUUAUACCAGUAGAAAAAGAAUCUCAAGUGGUUUGGUGUAUUAAUUCGAUUAAUGUAUACUCCAUAGUCCAUACUUUUUUUAUACCAGAAGAAAAAAGAAUCUAAAGUGGUUUGGUGUAUUAAUUCGAUUAAUGUACAUUCCAUAUGCAGAUUAUUAACAUACAUUUUUCUUAUAUCCAAAAAUGUCAAUUCAAAUAAUUUAAACUCAAUCUCAUUUUCUUUUUUUCUCUCUUGGUCUUUUUAAUAAUCACUAUGUCAAUAUUACGUUUCCUAUUCACUAGGAAUAAAAGUAGAUCGAUUUUUUUCAAUCCAAUUAAAUUUGAGAAUUAAUUUGAAUUAUUUUUCAAAGAAAAAAAUAAACCUCAAUCCAAAUUAAUUUAUUUGUAAACGAUCUAGAUUAAGUUAGUUUAAUGGGUCAAAAUAUUUAAAUUUUUCUAAUAUUUUUUAUAAGCUGAAUUUUUAAUCAAAUGAAAUAUCAAAUGAAUUAUUUAAAAUUAUUACCUGUAAUCAACUUAUGUAAGAAGAAUCUCAUUGUUGUUAUCUCGACUUGUCAACACUCUUAUUAUUAACAUACAUUUUUUAUUUUAUGAAAGAAAGUCUUUUUUUAUUUAUGCAUGUAAUGAAGAUUUAAUAUCAAAAGUCUUUCAUCAAAGUGAUAUUAAAUCAAAUACUUUUAAGCAAAGUCUAUGGUUUUAGUAUUAUGGGGGGAAAAUGUGGUUGAGUGAGAAGAACCUUUAUUAAAGGUGAUCAUGAAAAUUAGCCAUUAAUAAAGUUCAACAAUAUUUCAUAAUAUUUCAUGAUAAUUUGCAUAGUUUUUUUAAUAAUAAUACUCAGCCUUAAAUAUUUUUUAUUUUUGAAAUUUAGAAGUAAUUAUUCUCGUCACUCUAAUUUGAAGGAAAAAAACCCACUUUUGUUCCUUAUUAGUAACUAAAAUGAUUUCAAAAUAAUGACACACAAAAAAAUAUUUUUUUAUUUAACAGAGAAAAAAAAUACUUGACUUUAAAUUUAAGAGAGUAAAAAUAUACUUAAAUCAAAUUUUAGUUAUGUAAAUUACGAAAAUAAAACUCUAAUUUUAAUUUGAGAAUAAAGCAAACAAUAAAUAUAUAGCUAUAUAUAAGUUUGUCCAAUUUAAUUAUAGUUGGAAAUUAAGUAUGAAUGUAAUUAAAUAUAUAUCACUUUAAACUCUGUAUUAGACUUUGAGUGCAAUUUAAUAAUUUUUGUGGAUUUGGAUUUUUAAAUAAAAAUACUAAUACUUUUAAAUCAUUUUUGGUACUUUUUUUUAGUUUUAUUUCGGUACAUUAAUUAUUUUAAAUCUAAUAAUGCUCGGAAUUUGUUUUUAAUAUAUGAUUUCAGACCUUAAAAAUAAGAUAAUGUCCCCUUUCAUACUUUUUAUGUAAAGUCUCCUUUCAUAACUUUAAAAAUUGUCUUAUUCUAAUUCUUUAUUUAUUGGAUUAUGUCAUUUAUAUUCUUAUUUUCAUAGAGAACAAAUUAAAAAAUCAAACAAUUUUUUAAAAAUGAUAAGAGCUACAUCUAACACAGUUUUAUGAGAUAAUAAUAAUAAUAAUAAUAAUAAUAAUAAUAAUAAUAAUAAUAAUAAUAAUAAUAAUUUUUGAAUGACUAAAAAAACAUUUAUGUAUUUAUUUACAGGCCUAAAAACAAUUUAAUCCAUUUAUUGUUUUCUGAGAGAAUAUGACUCAUGCUAAAAUUCUUAAUAAUAAUCCCGUCCUCAAUAUAAUUGUCACUAUUUUAGUCGGUUUUCAAUUAUUUUAUUUUAAAAAUUUAGGAAGACCUUAAUUAUUUUGAUAUAGUAAAUAAAAAAUAAAAAUACCCUGUAUUCCUAACUUGUUAAUUGCUAUGCAUGAUGACAUUUGACAAUAAUAUUUUAGUGGCCGACACAUAUCCAGAUUUUUUAAGUUUACAAGUUGGAAUUGAAGGUUGUCAAAAAGAAUUGAAUUGAGAUGCAAACAAUCAUUUAAUUGACCUGUUUUCAAACUUUGUUGCAUAAAAGGAAUUAUAUAAUUCUCCUGUUAAUUAUUGUAAAAUCUUUCCAUACACCGUAACUUGUCACAAGUAGGGAUGAACAAAAACAAGGUCACAACUAGGAAUGAUAAUAUCUAAUUAAAAAAAAGGAACAAAAAUAAGUAAUAUCUAAUUAGAACACUGUAAUAGUUAUUAUUAUAUUCGCACUUGAAAUCGAUCUUGCUAAUUAACAACAAAUGGAAGAGGGUUUAAAUGUAUUAGACGGGAGUCAAUUUUACUUUUUAUAUUUUUUUUCGUAUAUACACAAAUGAUCCUAAGGAAUAGAGUAGAAGUCAGAACCCCUCCUUGUCUCCAUGAAUCCAUCCCUAUUGGUGUUAACACCUGUCAUACUAAUGACAAAAGUUUUAAUUGUAAAAAUAGGAUGUAUAUAGAAAUUUUUGGGCUCUAUGUAUUAUUUUUAAAGAGACUUAAUAUUACCUAAAUGUAUUAAACUAGUUGCCUUUUUAAUUUAAAAAAUUAUUUAUUAAAAUUUUAUAAUAAAAAAAUUCUAUUAUUUAACUAUCAAUAUAUACGGACUAAUUUAUUCAAUUUUAUCUUAUAAAAUUAUCUAUUUUAGAUAAGAGUUAAAAAAAUUUAAAAAUCAUUUAAUUAAAAAGCUUUUUACAGUUGUUGUUACAAGUGAAAAAGUUUUUCAAAUUAUAAGCAAUUAUUUUAAAUAUUAUUGUACCUAUUUAUAUGAAGGCAUGCAUGCACAAAAUUGCACAGACACGCACACAACAUUACAUGCAUAAGCAAUGAGAAGAUAAAUUGUUUAGUUUUUUGUCUUCUAUUAUUUAUUAUUGAUGAAUAACUUGUGAAAAUUUAAAUUGAUUCUAUACCUUUUUUUUUAAAAUAAUAUAAAUAAAUUAUCAAAAUUCUCUAUAUAACUUUUUAUGCAUACAAACAAAAUUUGGGGGUAAAAUGCCUUCUAACCUUGCCUCUUGCCUUUGAAUAUCAUGCAUCUUUCGACCCAAAAAGAAAGAAAAAAAAAAAACUGAACAUCUACAAAGUACUGAUCCAUCUUCUCUACAUCUUUCUCUACAUUUACUAGACGAUGGAAAGAUAUCUCAGUCACUAUAACUUUAUAAUCAAAUUUUAGUUAUGUAGUUCAGUUUAUUUUUUCCAUCUUGUUUAGAUAAAGGGCAUUAGGCUCCAUGGUGAUCACAAAGUAAUACUCUUACUUAAAUAAAUAGUCAUUUAUCCACAUAUAAUUCUUCAACGAUGCAAGGCUCUUAGAUCAGUUAGAUGUGUCUCCCCAAGGUAGUGGAAGGGAUAAGAAGAUUCAAAUUUGGCACCACCAUGAUAAUUUGUAUAGCAUGCCUUAAAUAGCUCGUUGUACCUACUCAUGUCAAAGUUGUGUGUCUUCAUGAGACGCUCUUGCUUGGCCUUAAACCGGUGAUGGAAGAAGCCCUGAAAGGUGGGUUCUGUGGAGGUCUUGAGGAAGAAAAGAUAAGCAAGAGCGAAGCCGAAUGAGGUAACAAAGAAGCAUAUGGGCUCCAUCACAUCCCAACUUAGUUCCCAGAAAGUGAGCCUCAUGAACCCGAGGGUCUGGACCGUCAAGAAGCCCAGCCCAAAAUAAAGCUCAGCUCGGACCUGGGCCUUGGCCUUUUCAUCAAUCAUCCACUUUUGCUUCUCCAUCAGCUCUAGCUCCUUCCUUCUAGGGUCAUUUGGAUUGGCUAUUGAUUGAUAGAUUAAGCUCUCUAUUGAUUUUGCCACCUAUAAAACAAGAGAAUCACAUUAACUUUAUAUUCAAUGAAAAAAAAAUACUAUGAUUUAAUAAUAGUAGUAGACAUUAAUUGACCAGGUCUUUGUCCCAUAGUCACAAUCAAAUCCUAAGCUAAUUGUUAAAAGUCACGGAAUCUAUGAAACCCCACACUUUCUUCUAUGAAAUAAAUUAUUAAAAGUUCAUUUAAUAGUGUUUAAUUUGACGGUAUAUGUAUGUGAAUGUGCAUAUGAAAAGAGAAGCAACAUGAGUUUGUUUUAAACGCACCCUGGCUAGCAACAUCAAAGGCAAGAGUUUGGUUUAAAAAAUUAAAGAUAAUUUUGCUGCCUCUUGAUGAAGAUUGAGAGCUGCCUGAAAAGUCCACAGAAAAAGCCCGGAAGACCCACGGGCAACGAGAGCUAACAUACAUUACAGCAAGGUGCCACGUUUUUAAGAACCCAACAGUACAGAACACAGCAUAGCAAAAUGUUGGUGAGAAUGUAAGGAAUGAAUGAAAAACAUGCACAUGACUAAGAAAGAAUCCAUGCAAAAAAAAGUGGUGGUGAUUGAUCACACACGACCUCCCCCAGGUAAGAGGCAUAUUUAGAUGCCUCACAUUCCACAUGUCCCACCCGAAAGAAACCGUUUCAAGGGAACCAGCCAAAGCACCGUUACGCCACACUAGGAUAAGGAUCCACGUCAUCAUCAUCCUCUGCAGUCUGCAACUAUAAUUCAAAAACUGAACUGCAGUUUCCAUUGAAUAGCUUCUACUGACACCCACAUUAUCACUUUUUUUUUUAAGGGGACCAGAAUUUUCUGCAUUUCAAUUUUCUUUUUUAGGCCUGU
rnacentral:lncRNA from 1 species